rnacentral:rRNA from 1 species
CCGGCGCACGGUGAGUAACACGUAUCCAACCUGCCGUCUACUCUUGGACAGCCUUCUGAAAGGAAGAUUAAUACAAGAUGGCAUCAUGAGUUCACAUGUUCACAUGAUUAAAGGUAUUCCGGUAGACGAUGGGGAUGCGUUCCAUUAGAUAGUAGGCGGGGUAACGGCCCACCUAGUCUUCGAUGGGUAGGGGUUCUGAGAGGAAGGUCCCCCACAUUGGAACUGAGACACGGUCCAA